GCCACUGGAAGCAUGGCAAAAUAUUGAAAAUGAGGGAUUAGGUGACAGUGUAGUAACUGCUGAAUACUAAAUACUUGAUCCAGGCCCCAUUCCCUGGAGAUUGACAGGGAGACACAUUGUCCAGGUAGUAGUGGAGAAAUGCUUUCUGGGUAUCUGACCAGCCUUUGUGGAAAGAACUGGCACCAUCCUGCAGAUGUAACCACCUGAUGGGUUCUUCCUGACCAAUGUACACACAAACUCAAUUCAUGGAGACCAUGGCACUGCAGGAAAGAGUUUCAUUGACACAGGCCAGCCACGACAUGUGGGAGACAGAGUUAUUACUCAAACCAAUCUCACUGAAGGCUUGGAGGUAACAACUAAUGUUGGAACUAUGAAAAGCUCUUCUCUACUUUUAACAAAGCUUAGUCACAAACAGUUCCCCAGUUGAUGAGAAAAACUAAAACAACAGAACAAUUGAAAGUCCGAAUCUGCAAGUUCAUCUCUGAGAACCGAAUCUUACAGCCACUCCAGAUUUGUACUCCAAAUGGAUAGUUUGAUUGUAGAAAUCACAUCCCUUCAGUCUGCCAAUGUGAUAACUGCCCAAGAGAAAGUGAUGCCUACAUUCAUAGAUAAUCCCCUUUCCCCCAUCCUAUAUAUAACUGGAGUCAACAGCAGCUGGAGGAAAAUGGCAAGAACUUGGCAUCAAGAUUAGGUUAGAAUAACACUGCUGUAGACAGUUUAUCAGCUCUUCAGCAUAUGUCCAUUUUCCUUGAAGGAUGAGCCUUUAGAAACCUCUGACAAUAAAGUUUAUUUUACAUCCA